GUCCAGCCUGCCCAGUGACUACGGGUUCAACGGCCGCGGUAUUUUGACCGUGCAAAGGUAGCGCAAUCACUUGUCUUUUAAAUAGAGACCUGUAUGAAUGGCUAAACGAGGGCUUAACUGUCUCCCCCUUCAAGUCAGUGAAAUUGAUCUAUCCGUGCAGAAGCGGGUAUAACCAUACAAGACGAGAAGACCCUUUGGAGCUUAAGGUACAAAAUUCAAUCACGUUAAGCAACUCAAUAAAAAGCAAGAACUUAGUGAAAAAUGAAAUUUUACCUUCGGUUGGGGCGACCACGGAGGAAAAACAAGCCUCCGAGUGGAAUGGGCCAAAUCCCUAAAACUAAGAGAAACAUCUCUAAGCCACAGAACAUCUGACCAAAAAUGAUCCGGCUAAUAAGUCGAUCAACGAACCAAGUUACCCUAGGGAUAACAGCGCAAUCCUCUCCCAGAGUCCAUAUCGACGAGGGGGUUUACGACCUCGAUGUUGGAUCAGGACAUCCUAAUGGUGCAGCCGCUAU
rnacentral:rRNA from 1 species